UCCUUAGAGGACUAGUGGUUAGGCCACAGCGCUCUCACUGCUGUGGCCCGCAUUCGAUUCCCGGCCAGGGAA
rnacentral:tRNA from 1 species